CCCGUAGGUGGCUUUGUAAGUCGGAGGUGAAAGACCACGGCUCAACCGUGGAAACGCCUUCGAAACUGUGAAGCUUGAGGCUGGGAGAGGAAAUCGGAAUUCCUGGUGUAGCGGUGAAAUGCGUAGAGAUCAUGAGGAAGACCAGUGGCGAAGGCGGGUCUCUGGACAGUUCCUGACACUGAGACACGAAGGCCAGGGGAGGCAAACG
rnacentral:rRNA from 1 species